GGACCGUUGGCCCAAUGGCAAGGCGUCUGACUACGAUUAACACGAAAUCAGGAGAUUCUGGGUUCGACCCCCAGGCGGUCCU